rnacentral:rRNA from 1 species
AUCCUGGCUUAGGAUGAACGCUAGCGGCAGGCUUAACACAUGCAAGUCGAGGGGCAUCGGGAGUAGCAAUACUGCCGGCGACCGGCGCAAGGGUGCGUAACGCGUGAGCAACAUGCCCGUAUCAGGGGGAUAAUCCAUGGAAACGUGGUCUAAUACCCCAUAGUAAUUAUGUAAGGCAUCUUAUAUAAUUUAAAGCUUUGGUGGAUACGGAUUGGCUCGCGUGACAUUAGCUGGAUGGUAAGGUAACGGCUUACCAUGGCUACGAUGUCUAGGGGUUCUGAGAGGAAGGUCCCCCCACACUGGAACUGAGACACGGUCCAGACUCCUACGGGAGGCAGCAGUGAGGAAUAUUGGACAAUGGAUGGAAAUCUGAUCCAGCCAUGCCGCGUGCAGGAAAGACGGCCCUAUGGGUUGUAAACUGCUUUUGUAUGGGAGCAAUAAGGGCUACGUGUAGUCCGAUGAGAGUACCAUACGAAUAAGCACCGGCUAACUCCGUGCCAGCAGCUGC